rnacentral:rRNA from 1 species
UACGUAGGGACCAAGCGUUGUUUGGAUUUACUGGGCGUAAAGGGCGCGUAGGCGGCGUGGUAAGUCACUUGUGAAAUCUCUGAGCUUAACUCAGAACGGUCAAGUGAUACUGCUGUGCUAGAGUGCGGAAGGGGCAAUCGGAAUUCUUGGUGUAGCGGUGAAAUGCGUAGAUAUCAAGAGGAACACCUGAGGCGAAGACGGGUUGCUGGGCCGACACUGACGCUGAUGCGCGAAAGCCAGGGGAGCAAACGGG